rnacentral:lncRNA from 1 species
AUGCAAACUCUGUGUGUCUGAAGGAAAGAGAACCCUGGGCUGGGGGAACCCACGCUGGAUUUGAGUUGGGGUCUUGCAGAUGGUUUGUGUUGCCAUUUUUUUUUUUUUUUUUACGAGAUGAGGUCUCACUGUGUUGCCCAGGCUGGAGUGCAGUGGCUAUUCACUUCACAAGUGUGAUCCUACUACUGAUCAGCACACGAGUUUUGACCUACUCCGUUUCCGACCUGGGCUGUUUCACCCCUCCGCAGGCAACCUAGUGGUCCUCUGCUCCCAGAAUAUUGAUGCUGAACUUAGUACGGACACCUGAUGGACAUAGCACACUACAGCCCAGAACUCCUGGGCUCAAGUCAUCCCCAACCUCCCGAGUAGCUAGGACUACAGGUGUGAGCCACCAUGCCACCUGGCUUGUGUUGCCUUUAAGCUCCUCUGUGCCUCAAUUUUAUGUCCUGUUAAGUGGGAACCAGGGAGGUCUUUGCACAGUGGUGGAAAUGGGGCAUGGGAGCUGGGCCCUACAAAGAUCCCUUUGGAGUUCGGUGUGAGCGAUGGCCUGGAAGUGGGGCAGGGCAGGGCUGGUGGCUGGGAGACAAGCCUGAACCAUGUGGAGAACAAGGCAAGAGAUGUGGGACUACUGGAAAGAUGGAGCUUGGUCAUCGACUCAAUGGGGGUGGUGGGGGGGUUGUGAGGGAGUUGAGGAUGCUGCCAGGGAACCCGGGAGAGCAACAGGUCUGUUGAAGAGACGAAGUGACCAAGUCGGGCCCCCUGGCCAGGCGGUGGCUGAGUUGGCACUAUAAGCCACAUGUUUCUUCCUGCCAGGCACUGUCUGGGCAUGUGGCAACCAUGUUCUCCACCCCACCCCAGCUUCAUCCACGGAUCCCUAUCACUAGCCCCAACACCAGGUGGGCAAGAUAAGAAGUAUGGAAUGUUUCAGAAAUAACAAAGAAUCCCGUCUGGUUGAGGGAGGUUGUGAGAGGAGGUGGGUAGAGAUCAGCCUGGAAAGUGAACUUUCUCAAGAGGGCACUGGGAGCCACGGACGUUUUAAACAGAACAAGUGACAGGAUCUGAUUUUUGCUUUAAGAUAAUUUUUCAAUAUUUUUCAACCCUAUUAUCUGCCCCCUUUUGAGAAAUAGAAAAAGCCCAUGCUUACUAUCAUGCUGGUCUUUAAAAAACAAAAGCUCAUGCCCAUCUCUCCAGAGCUCCUCCCUCACACCCCGUGGAGAUUUCCACAGUUUCCCUCACCCCAGGGAACCAAGUCUUUCCUCACAUGAUGUCCUGAGUAGAGGCUCAACUGCUUUUUGCCAGUUUCUCCUUGUAGUUCUUUCAAUUAUUGCUUUAUGUAUUUAUAAGUUAUGUUAUUCAGUGUAUUUGAGUUUAGAAUUGGUAUGUAUUUUAGGUAAGUUGAAUAUUUGAUCAAAAUAUAGUGAUAUAUGUUAAUACUAGCAAUGAUUUUCCCUUAUAGUCUACUUGGUCUGAUAUUAACAUAGCAACUAUAACUUUUUUUGGUUAACAUUUAACUGGUAUAGUUUUUUCAAUCCUUUUCCGUUCAAAUUAAAAAUUUGUUUUUAUUGAGAUACAAUUCACAUACCAUAAAAUUCACCCUGUAAAACGUACAAUUCAGCAGUGUUUAGUAUAUUUACAGUGUUUUGCAGCCAUCACCACCAUCUAAUUCCAGAACAUUUUGAUCACCCCAAAAGGAAACCUUGUACACAUUUGCAGUAGCUCCCCAUUUACACACCGCACCCCC